rnacentral:rRNA from 1 species
CUCACACUACCAACGCCAGGGUAUUACGAGCUCAGCUUAAAACCCAAAGGACUUGACGGUGUCCCAUCCAACUAGAGGAGCCUGUUCUAUAAUCGAUAACCCCCGAUUUACCUAACCCUGUUUUGCCAAUCAGCCUGUAUACCUCCGUCGUAAACUUACCAUAUGAAUGCCCACAGUAAGUAUGAUGGUCCUAACACCAACACGUCAGGUCAAGGUGCAGCUCAUAACAGGGGAAGUGAUGGGCUACAAUUUCUAAAAUAGAAUACACGGAAUACUGCAUGAAAUACAGUUAUGAAGGCGGAUUUAGUAGUAAAAAGG